CAGCCGCCGCGGUAAUACGAAGGGGGCUAGCGUUGCUCGGAAUGACUGGGCGUAAAGGGCGCGUAGGCGGCGAUCAAAGUCAGGCGUGAAACUCCUGGGCUCAACCUGGGGGCUGCGUUUGAUACUUGAUUGCUAGAGUGGGGAAGAGGGUCGUGGAAUUCCCAGUGUAGAGGUGAAAUUCGUAGAUAUUGGGAAGAACACCGGUGGCGAAGGCGGCGACCUGGUCCUUGACUGACGCUGAGGCGCGAAAGCGUGGGGAGCAAACAGGAUUAGAUACCCGUGUAGUCCCUGUCUCUUAUAC
rnacentral:rRNA from 1 species